rnacentral:tRNA from 1 species
GGUCCCGUAGCUCAAAUGGAUAGAGCAGUGGUUUCCUAAACCAUCGAUCACAGUUCAAUUCUGUGCGGGGCUGCCA